GAUGAAUAACGCAGCGAAAUGCGAUAAGUAAUGUGAAUUGCAGAAUUCAGUGAAUCAUCGAAUCUUUGAACGCACAUUGCGCCCCUUGGUAUUCCGAGGGGCAUGCCUGUUCGAGCGUCAUUAUAACCCCUCAAGCUCAGCUUGGUGUUGGGGCCUGCUGCACUGGCAGCCCUUAAAAUCAGUGGCGGCGCCAUCUGGCUCUAAGCGUAGUAAUUCUUCUAGCUAUGGAGUCCUGGUGGAUGCUUGCCAUCAACCCCCAAUUUUUCUAUGGUUGACCUCGGAUCAGGUAGGGAUACCCGCUGAACUUAAGCAUAUCAAUAAGCGGAGGA
rnacentral:misc_RNA from 1 species